rnacentral:rRNA from 1 species
UACGUAGGGGGCGAGCGUUGUCCGAAGUUACUGGGCGUAAAGCGCGCGUAGGCGGGCUCUUAAGUGAGGGGUGAAAGGUUCAGGGCUCAACCCGAACACUGCCUUUCAUACUGGGGGCCUUGAGUGCGGGAGAGGCGAGUGGAAUGGUCGGUGUAGCGGUGAAAUGCGUAGAUAUCGAUCGGAACACCCAUGGCGAAGGCAGCUCGCUGGCCUGUAACUGACGCUGAGGUGCGAAAGCGUGGGGAGCAAACAG